rnacentral:rRNA from 1 species
AAAUUAAACAAUAGAAGCAAGUCUGACGCAUCCAUAGGGGUGUGUGAAGAAGGGGUAAGGUUAUAAAGCACUUUCAAUGGGAAGGAAAGUUUGUUGUUAAUAGCGGCAAGCCCUUUCAUUACCGUUAAAAGAAGCGCCGGCUAACUCUGUGCCAGCAGCGGCGGUAUUAGGGAGGGAGCGAUCGUUAUUUGGAAUUAGUGGGGGUAAAGCGCGCGUAGGCGGUUUGUUAAGUUGGAUGUGAAAGCCCCGGACUCAACCUAGGAACUGCAUUCGAUACUGGCCGACUAGAGUACGAGAGAGGGAGGUAGAAUUCUACGUGUAGCGGUGAAAUGGGUAAAUAUUUGGAGGAAUACCAGUGGCGAAGGCGGCCUCCUGGCUCGAUACUGGCGCUGAGGUGCGAAAGGGUGGGGAGCAAACAGGAUUAGAUACCUUGGUAGUCCACGCCGUA